rnacentral:rRNA from 1 species
GAUGAACGCUGGCGGCGUGCCUAAUACAUGCAAGUCGAGCGAACAGACGAGGAGCUUGCUCCUCUGACGUUAGCGGCGGACGGGUGAGUAACACGUGGAUAACCUACCUAUAAGACUGGGAUAACUUCGGGAAACCGGAGCUAAUACCGGAUAAUAUAUUGAACCGCAUGGUUCAAUAGUGAAAGACGGUUUUGCUGUCACUUAUAGAUGGAUCCGCGCCGCAUUAGCUAGUUGGUAAGGUAACGGCUUACCAAGGCAACGAUGCGUAGCCGACCUGAGAGGGUGAUCAGCCACACUGGAACUGAGACACGGUCCAGACUCCUACGGGAGGCAGCAGUAGGGAAUCUUGGGCAAUGGGCGAAAGCCUGACGGAGCAACGCCGCGUGAGUGAUGAAGGUCUUCGGAUCGUAAAACACUGUUAUUAGGGAAGAACAAAUUUGUAAGAAACUAUGCACGGCUUGACGGUACCUAAUCAGAAAGCAACGGCUAACUACGUG